CCUACGGGAGGCAGCAGGGAGGAAGAGGGGGCAAUGGGCGUAAGCCUGAACCAGCCAAGUCGCGUGAGGGAUGAAGGUGCGAUGGAUAGUAAACCUCUUUUAUAAGGGAAUAAAGUGUGGGACGUGUCCUAUUUUGUAUGUACCUUAUGAAUAAGGAUCGGCUAACUCCGUGCCAGCAGCCGCGGUAAUACGGAGGAUCCGAGCGUUAUCCGGAUUUAUUGGGUUUAAAGGGUGCGUAGGCGGCCUUUUAAGUCAGUGGUGAAAGUCUGUGGCUCAACCAUAGAAUUGCCGUUGAAACUGGGGGGCUUGAGUAUGUUUGAGGCAGGCGGAAUGCGUGGUGUAGCGGUGACAUGCUUAGAUAUCACGCAGAACCCCGAUUGCGAAGGCAGCCUGCCAAGCCAUGACUGACGCUGAUGCACGAAAGCGUGGGGAUCAAACAGGAUUAGAUACCCUGGUAGUC
rnacentral:rRNA from 1 species